AUAUUUAAUUUGCUUGGGGUUUAUUUUGUGAUUUCCUUUCUGAGUUUUUAGCAACUUUUCUGUUUGGUUUCUAAGAAACUGGAAUCUUUUUAGUCAUUUUGGUUCCAAUCAAUAUGUCAAAUUGGAAUUAACCCAAGUCUUGCCCAUCUCUUUAAUGGGUUCCAGUUUUUUUUGGUUCUCCUGGAAAUGAACCAUAAAAAAAAUGAAAAGGAUACAUAGUUUUUUGGGAAAGAAACCAAAUAGAAGCUGAUUGAAUUAAGAAGCACCCAUAGUGAGGUUUACUCAUUAUUUGUUAACUGGUCCAUGAAACCUCUAUCUCUCUCUGGGUUAAUGUAGGUAAUAUUUUUUUCCCCAAAAUUACAAAGAAACAUUUUAUAGAGUCUACUUAAACCAAAUAAGAAUAAUUAACCUGACCAUUAUAUUAAAGAGUAUAUAGACAAAGACAAGACAGGUAGUUCAUAAAAAGGGAGAAAAAAAAAAUCUCCCUAUUUGUUAACAACUUGUUCGACAAGUUUUACAAUUUUAUAUAAUUUAAUUUGUGUAGGCAAGGGUAAAGCCGUUGCUGCUGUUGGUUAGCAAUGGGCACAGAGGCCAGAUACGAUGAAUAUGCCUGGAUUGAGAUCCCGUGCAAUAGCUCAAAUCCUAGCCUUCCAUUCAAUCUAAUGGUUCUAAAAUAACUCCACGUCAUCAAUCCAUGUCACUUAGGAAAAAACAAUUUUAAUUCACUCUCAUUCCUUCUUUCUCUCAUUUUUUUUUUUCCUAUUCAUAUCUUUCUCUCUCCAACUUUUCACUCCUCAGUCCUCUCCUCUGUUCUCUCUAAUUUUCAAAAAAUCCCGAUGUUGUUGUUGCCGCUUCGCUUUCGCUCUCGCGGCAAACCACCGUCAUCGUACGGACUAAGUCUCGAACCAGCCACCAUUUCUCUCCCCCAAUGAUCUAUCAGCCCCUGCUACGCCUUUGUCGGCUUCACUGCUUAGCAUCUCUAAACUACACUGCCCGCCCAAUCACUUCCCAAUGAGUGAUUUCUUGGAUGCAAUUGAGCGCUAAAUCUGUUUUUUCUGAAUCGGUGGCUCAAUAAUCUCAGCAUGGUUAUAC